rnacentral:rRNA from 1 species
CGUGAACGCUGGCGGUAGGCCUAACACAUGCAAGUCGAACGGCAGCACAGUAAGAGCUUGCUCUUACGGGUGGCGAGUGGCGGACGGGUGAGGAAUACAUCGGAAUCUACUUUUUCGUGGGGGAUAACGUAGGGAAACUUACGCUAAUACCGCAUACGACCUACGGGUGAAAGCAGGGGAUCUUCGGACCUUGCGCGAUUGAAUGAGACGAUGUCGGAUUAGCUAGUUGGCGGGGUAAAGGCCCACCAAGGCGACGAUCCGUAGCUGGUCUGAGAGGAUGAUCAGCCACACUGGAACUGAGACACGGUCCAGACUCCUACGGGAGGCAGCAGUGGGGAAUAUUGGACAAUGGGCGCAAGCCUGAUCCAGCCAUACCGCGUGGGUGAAGAAGGCCUUCGGGUUGUAAAGCCCUUUUGUUGGGAAAGAAAAGCAGCAGGUUAAUACCCCGCUGUUCUGACGGUACCCAAAGAAUAAGCACCGGCUAACUUCGUG